rnacentral:rRNA from 1 species
GAGUGUGGUAAUUUGAAAGAGUACAAUGUUAAUCUCUUAACGAGGAUCCAUUGGAGGGAAAGUGUGGUGCCAACAACCGCGGUAAUUCUAGUUCCAAUAGCGUAUUUUUAAGCUGUUCCAGUUAAAAAGCUCAUAGUUGGACUUUGGGAUGGGUCGGCCGGUCCGCCCUAGGUGUGCACCGGUCGUCUCGUCCCUUCUGUUGGCGAUGCGUUCCUGGCCUUAAUUAACCGGUUCGUGCCUUCAGCGCUGUUACUUUGAAGAAAUUAGAGUGAUCAAAGUAAGCCUACUCUAACGUCCCCUCACCUUUCCAGCAAGUUCGCAACAUACAAAGGGGGUAGGCGGUCCAACAUCCUUGGAGAGGCUUGUACAAGACUCAAGAGCCUUCUAGAUUCUUAGGGCAGACUAGAGAAUUCUAGGAUCCUUUUGGAAGAGCUAGAGACAUAUUCUAGGAAUGUAGAACAUGUAUUCAGUGUAUGUACUUAGGGACUUGUAUAGCAACAUUUAUCUACUCUUAGGCUUAGGGAGUAGUAUAAAUAGGAGAGUCAUUGUAUUUGUAAAUCAUCCAUCAACUGGAUAAUAAAAUACAAGUCCUCUCUUCCAAAGUUCUUUCUUUGUCUUUCUUCUUAUUCUCUUAGCGUUCUGAGUAGAAAGACUGACUUGAGCUUACGAGAUCGUGAAAAAUCGUGAGUAAGUUGUAAAGUGCCGCACGGAGUCUUGUCAGAUUCUCUAGGUCUGUGACAUUACGCUCUGUAUACAUUAGCAUGGGAUAACAUUAUAGGAUUUCGGUCCUAUUACGUUGGCCUUCGGGAUCGGAGUAAUGAUUAACAGGGACAGUUGGGGGCAUUCGUAUUUCAUAGUCAGAGGUGAAAUUCUUGUAUUUAUGAAAGACGAACAAAUGCGAAAGCAUUUGCCAAUGAUGUUUUCAUUAAUCAAGAACGAAAGUURGGGGCUCGAAGACGAUCAGAUACAAUCCUAGUCUCAACCAUAAACGAUGCCGACAGCGGAUCGGCGGAUGUUGCUUUUAGGACUCCGCCGGCACCUUAUGAGAAAUCAAAGUUUUUGGGUUCCGGGGGGAGUAUUGUCGCAAGGCUAAAACUUAAAGGAAUUGACGGAAGGGCACCACCAAGAGUGUUGCCUGCGGCUUAAUUUUACUCAACAUGGGGAAACUUACCAAGUCCAGACAUAGUAAGGAUUGGCAGACUGAGAGCUCUUUCAUGAUUCUAUGGGUGGUGGUGCAUGGCCGUUCUUAGUUGGUGGAGCGAUUUGUCUGGUUAAUUCCGUUAACGAACGAGACCUCAGCCUGCUAACUAGCUAUGCAAAGGAAUCCCUUCGCGGCCAGCUUCUUAGAGGGACUACGACCUUUUAGGCCGCGAAAGUUUGAGCCAAUAACAGGUCUGUGAUGCCCUUAGAUGUUAUGGGCCGCACGCGCGCUACGCUGAUGUAUUAAACGAGCUUAUAUCCUUGGCCGACAAGCCCGAGUAAUCUUUGAAAUUUCAUCGUGAUGGGGAUAGAUCAUUGCAAUUGUUGGUCUUCAACGAGGAAUUCCUWGUAAGCGCGAGUCAUCAGCUCGCAUUGACUACGGUCCUGUCCUUUUUACACACCGCCCAUCGCUCCUACCGAUUGAAUAAUCCAGUGAAAUGUUUGGAUCACGUUGACGUGGGCGAUUCGCUACCCGCGACGUCGUGAGAAGUCGAUUGAACCUUAUCAUUUAGAGAAAGGAGAAGUCGUCACAAGGUUUCCGUAGGUGAACCUACCGAAG